rnacentral:lncRNA from 12 species
AUAUUAGUUUUUUUGUGUGUGUUUUUUUCCGCCACAGCCAUGAGCUCGGGGGAAGGGGCCGAGGAGGCGGCUAAGGACGCGGCCGAUAUAGCGACGUUCUUCAAAUCUGAUUGUGCGCAUUCAAAAUGUGAGCCCAAAGCCGACGUCUCCAAUCAAAUAACAGGUUUUGGCUUUGUUUUGUCUGUACAUUAUCAUGAAAGGAAAGACGUGUUUGAGGGUUCUUGUGUCUGA